rnacentral:rRNA from 1 species
CCUACGGGAGGCAGCAGUGGGGAAUAUUGGACAAUGGGGGGAACCCUGAUCCAGCCAUGCCGCGUGUGUGAAGAAGGCCCUCGGGUUGUAAAGCACUUUCAGUGAGGAAGAACGCCUGGUGGUUAAUACCCAUCAGGAAAGACAUCACUCACAGAAGAAACACCGGCUAACUCCGUGCCAGCAGCCGCGGUAAUACGGAGGGUGCGAGCGUUAAUCGGAAUUACUGGGCGUAAAGCGCGCGUAGGUGGCUUGAUAAGCCGGUUGUGAAAGCCCCGGGCUCAACCUGGGAACGGCAUCCGGAACUGUCAAGCUAGAGUGCAGGAGAGGAAGGUAGAAUUCCCGGUGUAGCGGUGAAAUGCGUAGAGAUCGGGAGGAAUACCAGUGGCGAAGGCGGCCUUCUGGACUGACACUGACACUGAGGUGCGAAAGCGUGGGUAGCAAACAGGAUUAGAUACCCCUGUAGUC